GGUUCCAUGGAGUAGUGGUUAGCACUUCUGCUUUGCACGCAGAAAGUUCUGGAUUCGAACCCCAGUGGAGCGU
rnacentral:tRNA from 1 species